GCGUCUAUGGUCUAGUGGUUAGGAUUCAACCCUUCCAAUUCGGCUCUGUAACAAGAGUUGAAGUUGCUAGGUUGAGGGGGGGGUUCGAUUCCCUCUGGUCGCA